rnacentral:lncRNA from 1 species
CUACCAAAGAAUGGAUGCAAUUUUGCUACAAUCGGGUGGGGGUCUGGCAACUCUGGUUGGUUGCACUUGUUCAGGAAAGCGCACAAGUGCUCUCUGAAAGCACCUUGUACUUGCGUCAUUACCGGUAGAAAUUGCAUCAUCAGCAUCUUCAUGUGCAUGGAGCAGUUGCAUUGGCUCUAGUGAGAUGUGGCUACUGAGGAGUCUUUUCCUUAGAAAUGAUUUUAUUCUCCUCCUUUGACAAUCUGAUAUUAUAAUGGAGCAG